rnacentral:misc_RNA from 1 species
GUAGGUGAACCUGCGGAAGGAUCAUUACUUGCAGUAGUUUACUACUGUUGUAGGGGCUGUGGAAAUUCUUCUGGCUGUUUCGGCAGUUUUGAGAAAAGUACACUCCCUUAUAAACCCUUGUCCUUUUGCGCACUCAUGUUUCCUCGGUGGGCUUGCCUGCCGAUUGGACAACUUAUAACCUUUCUAAAUUUUCAAUCAGCGUCUGAAUAAUUAUAAUAAUUACAACUUUCAACAACGGAUCUCUUGGUUCUG